CGUUUCCCAGUGAGACAUACAGAAAGAUCUUUGGCCAGGCCGACUGCAGACUUGGGUCCACAUCACAUGCAGCUAGUGCUGCUGCUCACUGCUGAGUGACCAGGUGGCUGAGUCACUGGUCCAUGACUGGCAAAGAGCGACUUUUGCGCUGACAGGCACGUGGCCAAGGAUUGACAGGUUGGCAAGAGAUAGGCUGUAGGAGGAGGUUUGGCCCGUGACGCUGUGGUCACAGCUCUUCAUCAGCCUCUUACCCAACAUGGCUGCGAUACUGUAAGUUCCUAAGAAACUUUUUUUUUUUCUCUCUCACUCUCACCAUCUGUCCUGCUCUGAGUCCGUUGUGCACAUGCUCCACCUCUUCCCCUGUUCUCCUCUCUCUCAUUUCGGAGAACUCAACGCAAAGUCAAGGAGAUCCUCCCACUUGACCCUUGGUGAUGAUGAUAAUGAUGUUGACGAUUAUAAGUUGGAUUGGGA
ensembl:lncRNA